rnacentral:rRNA from 1 species
CAGCCGAAAGAAAUUGAGCAAUAACAGGUCUGUGAUGCCCUUAGAUGUCCGGGGCUGCACGCGCGCUACACUGGCAAAAUCAACGUGCUUGUCCUACCCUGAAAGGGGCGGGUAAACCAUUGAAAAUUUGCCGUGAUUGGGAUCGGAAAUUGCAAUUAUUUUCCGUGAACGAGGAAUUCCAAGUAAGUGCGAGUCAUCAGCUCGCGUUGAUUACGUCCCUGCCCUUUGUACACACCGCCCGUCGCUGCCCGGGACUGAGCCAUUUCGAGAAAUUUGGGGACCGUUGAUUUAAUUUUUCUAAAUUACUUUGAUGGAAACCAAUUUAAUCGCAGUGGCUUGAACCGGGCAAAAGUCGUAACAAGGUAGCUGUAGGUGAACCUGCUGCUGGAUCAUUACUUUAUGUGAUGUUCAAAUUUGAAUUCGCAACGAAAUAUACUGUUGUGAAACGGCUGUCGCUGGUGUCUAGGUGUUGCUGAUACAGUUGUGAACGUCCGUGGCUGUAUAUGUGGUGACAUGUUAGGACUCUUAAUGAGUUUAAGACUUAAUGAGCCUCUUAAGUGAGGACGCCAGCACUCUUUUUUUCUCUAUAUUUUAAAAAAAAACGAAAAUUUCUAGCCUUAUCGGUGGAUCACUCGGCUCGUGGAUCGAUGAAGAACGCAGCAAACUGCGAUAAUUUGUGCGAACUGCAGAAACCUUGAGCACAAAAGUUUUGAACGCAUAUUGCCGCAUUGGGGUCAAACCCUUUGCUACGUCUGGUUCAGGGUCAUUUUCUUUUAAAGCGAAAGCUUUAAUUUAUAUAUGCUAUUGAUGCUUUAUAUUUUAAGAGGAUUGUUGUUUAUCCAUUGUAUGAAUAUAACUACAAAAAUCAAACAAUUUUGACCUGAACUCAGUCGAGAGCACCCGCUGAACUUAAGCAUAUCAGUAAGCGGAGGAAAAGAAACUAAACAGGAUUCCCCCAGUAACGGCGAGUGAACAGGGAAAUGUCCAUCGCUAAAUCAUUUUGCCUCAGGCAUUAUGAGGUGUAGCGUAUAAGCCGUAAUCUUUGAUCUUUUGUCUCAAACAAGUCCCCUUGACAGGGGUUCCACAGAAGGUGCAAGUCCUGUACAUUGAGAUAAUUGAUCGAUAUUUGCGUGCUUUAGAGUCGGGUUGUUUGGGAUCGCAGCCCAAAGUCGGUGGUAAACUUCAUCUAAGACUCAAUAUUGCCACGAGACCGAUAGCAAACAAGUACUGUGAAGGAAAGUUGCAAAGCACUUUGAAGAGAGAGUUAAAGAGGACGUGAAACCGGUGAGGUGGAAACGGAUAGAGUCGGCGUAUCUUUCAAGUAUUCAUUUACAUUAUUUUUAUGUUGUGAUCUCUGAGCUCCAGAUUGGGACAGAGGGAAGCAGCAUAAUUUUCUGUGAUGCAUUUACUUGUUUGGUGCUUGGGGAUGUUUGAGGCAGAUUUGUAACCGCCGUUUUGAGGCCAGCUUGCUGGUACCCAAACGGUGUUAGCAUUUUUUGUCUUGGACAUUUGAGUAUGGCUUACGGGCAUUUAUUGGUUCGAUCUGAGUGUAAGUUACGGUCGCAUGCGACACGUGCUUUUCAAUUAGUUCGGUCCAGUUAAUGCUCUCGUACUCGUUCCCCAUGUAAAAGCCGGUCAUCUAUCCGACCCGUCUUGAAACACGGACCAAGGAGUUUAUCGUGUGCGCAAGUUUUUGGGUGUUAAAAACCUAAAAGCGAAAUGAAAGUAAAUGGCUCUUUAGAGUCUGAUGUGCGAUCUUGUAAAAAAGUGCAGCAUGGCCCCAUUCUAACUGUUUACAGUAGGGUGGCGGAAGAGCGUACGCGGUGAGACCCGAAAGAUGGUGAACUAUUCCUGAGCAGGACGAAGCCAGAGGAAACUCUGGUGGAAGUCCGAAGCGGUUCUGACGUGCAAAUCGAUCGUCUGACUUGGGUAUAGGGGCGAAAGACUAAUCGAACCAUCUAGUAGCUGGUUCCCUCUGAAGUUUCCCCCAGGAUAGCUGGAGCUCACGAGUAGUUAUACUCGGUAAAGCGAAUGAUUAGAGGACUUGGGAACGAAAUGUUCUUAACCUAUUCUCAAACUCUAAAUGGGUAUGAUGUCAAAGUUGCUUGAUUUUGAACUUUGGCGUUGAAUACGAGCUCCAAGUGGGCCAUUUUUGGUAAGCAGAACUGGCGAUGUGGGAUGAACCAAACGCGGAGUUGCGGUGCCAAAGUGCCCGCUCAUUAGACCCCAUAAAAGGUGUUGGUUGAUACAGACAGCAGGACGGUGGCCAUGGAAGUCGGAAUCCGCUAAGGAGUGUGUAACAACUCACCUGCCGAAUCAACUAGCCCUGAAAAUGGAUGGCGCUGGAGCGGGCCACCUAUACUCUGCCGUCAUAUGCUUGUAUUUUCUGUGAAAAGUCUUGCAAUGACGUGUAAGAGGGUCGUAGUGGUUGCGUUGAAGGCUUUGGGUGUGCACCCAGCUGGAGCUUCCACUAGUGCAGAUCUUGGUGGUAGUAGCAAAU